rnacentral:lncRNA from 1 species
AACAGCAACAUUUAUUAUAUUAUAAUGUGCCUACCUAACCUAACCAAAUAUACUUACACACUAAUAUAAAUCUUAAUUAAAAUUUCUAUUACAGCUGCAGCAGGGAAUAAGAAACUUUUAAAGAAAGGUGUUGUUCCCUCUCAAUGCCUUCCUAAAGGAAAACACGAA